rnacentral:rRNA from 1 species
GACGGAGGGUGCUAGCGUUGUUCGGAAUCACUGGGCGUAAAGGGCGCGUAGGCGGCCUUGCAAGUCGGUUGGUGAAAGCCCGGGGCUCAACCCCGGAGGUGCGGCCGAGACUGCAGGCUGGAGGCCGGAAGAGGAGGGUGGAAUACCCAGUGUAGAGGUGAAAUUCGUAAGAUAUUGGGUGGAACACCGGUGGCGAAAGCGGCUCUCUGGUCCGGACCUGACGCUGAGGCGCGAAAGCGUGGGGAGCAAACAGG